UACAGAGGGGGCAAGCGUUGUUCGGAAUUACUGGGCGUAAAGGGCGCGUAGGCGGUUCGUUAAGUCCUGUGUGAAAUCCCCCGGCUCAACUGGGGAACUGCACAGGAAACUAGCGGGCUUGAGUUCGGGAGAGGGAAGCGGAAUUCCGGGUGUAGCGGUGAAAUGCGUAGAUAUCCGGAGGAACACCGGUGGCGAAGGCGGCUCCCUGGACCGACACUGACGCUGAGGCGCGAAAGCUAGGGGAGCAAACGGG
rnacentral:rRNA from 1 species